CUUUUGCAUUUGCAAAUAUAUAUUCACGAAACUUUGUAUAGAAAUGUGGGAAAUAAUUAAUUCAAAUUCAGAAGUAUUUAGGGAGUAAAAUCAGUAUUAAAAUAUGUUGAAAGGAAAAACACUCUCAGAAAGGAUUUCUGGAUCCUCUACUGGCUGUAACUUAGCUUAGUGCUCAAAUGCCACUGGAAGUGAUAAACUCCAGCAAAAAAAAGCAAAGAAUCCACGCUGUUUUAAAAAUUUUCUGUGUUCCAUUGAGUACAAGUAAUCAAAUUCUGUCUGGAUGACGUCGGCUGUUAUUAAAGAAUGGCUUCAGAAAUCAUUCGUUCCGCAGGAGAGAAACUUGCCAAUUAAAGACCUAUUAAAGACCUAAUCGGCAACGCCCCUUUCUUCUAGAUGAGCUGAACUGAUACUGGGAAAUGAAAAAAAAAUCGCAAUGUUUAUGCCACCAAACGUAAAUCAUUCAUCCGAUGGAUCAGAAUGCAAUAAAAAUUACGAAGCUGCACUACAAAAACAGCCUUCUAGCUUCAGCAGCAUCUACGAAAUCUGAUUUGCUCAUUGACUGGAGAAGCUAACAUUAAAAGCUGCAAUAAAUCUUUAGGAAGGUGCUUAAAGUCGUGCCAUUGAAGAAACCCUAGCUAAUUGCUGGAAGAAUAUUUUAAAUUUUGCGGAAAACGAUGAUAAUCCUGAAGAUGGUAUGCCAUUGGCAGUUUUAAAAAUGGGAAGCUGAACUUCGCUCCUUCAUGAGCAACUCCAACAAUCUCCUUCACAGUUUAAAUACUGAGAUUUUAGAAUGAAUGUACGUUAGCAACCCUUCGUGAAUGGAGCAAAGACAUUAAAGUAGAUAAUGCGGACGACGAUAUUGAAUCAGCGGACGAAUCAGACGAAACUGCGUCUCAAAGACACCGGAGAACAUCAAACCAAAUGAAACAAUUGAAAGCUAUAAAGCGCUACAGUUGGCUAGUCAUGAAGGCGUCGAUCAAAACGAUGUGUAUUUCAAUUAUUAGAAUAACAGAAAUUGUAUUUCAACUACAAGGAAGCCCUUCACAAGGCAGCUAACAAGCGAACUCAGUUAGAUUGCCAUAUGACGGACCGGCUUGUAAUUUACUUGCAGUUUUUUAAGCACCUUGAACACUUCCUUUCAACUCCGACUUAAAAACACGAAUGAGUAUAAGCUGUUCCUUAUAUGAUUAAAAACUCUUUGCAGUGUUUCUUGUUGUAAAGGUCUAUGUACAGAGGAGGCGGCGAUUUAUCAGCAAAACCACGCCUGCGCACUUUGCCGAAGUCUGGCUGUGUGCGCAUUGGCUUAUCGGCUAAGUGCUAACCACAAGCGCAGAUGCUACGAAUUCCCUCGGCGAAUGCACACUUACAUGUGUAUGUAUGCGCAAGUAUAACUGUGCAUACCAAGAAGUAUGGAUGAUAAAAUGGAGCUAAAUGUUUUAAAUCAAAACCUAUAGAAAUUAUUCCAAAUACGGUAUAUGUGUAUUUAUGUAUGUAAUUACAGAAACAAUAAAGAAUAUAUACUGAUAUCUUAAGGCUUAAGUCACAUGCAUUCACAUUCCGCACAUGUGUAUGUAUGUAUGUAUGCCCGCCAAAAAACCCUGUUACGCAUACGGUCUGGAGCUUAUCAAGAGUGCCCAACACAGAAUUUAAUAAAGUUAUACCUAAAAAAUUAUACCUAAAAAUAAAAUGUAUAUAUACGGUAUAUAAUGUGAACGUUUAUGCGAAUAAUCUUGCAUUUAAGAUUGUUAGUUAUAACAUUCUUUUACACUUCAAGUUAAUAAAUUUUGAAAAGUUAAAAUACAUAUUUCUAGAACAUCGA